AUUGAACGCUGGCGGCAUGCCUUACACAUGCAAGUCGAACGGUAACGGGCCUUCGGGCGCCGACGAGUGGCGAACGGGUGAGUAAUGCAUCGGAACGUACCUUUCAGUGGGGGAUAACGUAGCGAAAGUUACGCUAAUACCGCAUAUUCUGUGAGCAGGAAAGCAGGGGAUCGCAAGACCUUGCGCUGAUUGAGCGGCCGAUGUCAGAUUAGCUAGUUGGUGAGGUAAAGGCUCACCAAGGCGACGAUCUGUAGCGGGUCUGAGAGGAUGAUCCGCCACACUGGAACUGAGACACGGUCCAGACUCCUACGGGAGGCAGCAGGUGGGGUAAUUUUGGACAAUGGGGGCAACCCUGAUCCAGCCAUGCCGCGUGAGUGAAGAAGGCCUUCGGGUUGUAAAGCUCUUUCGGCCGGGAAGAAAUCGUAUGGGCUAAUACCCUGUGCGGAUGACGGUACCGGCAUAAGAAGCACCGGCUAACUACGUG
rnacentral:rRNA from 1 species